rnacentral:rRNA from 2 species
AAAUUGAAGAGUUUGAUCAUGGCUCAGAUUGAACGCUGGCGGCAGGCCUAACACAUGCAAGUCGAACGGUAACAGGAAGAAGCUUGCUUCUUUGCUGACGAGUGGCGGACGGGUGAGUAAUGUCUGGGAAACUGCCUGAUGGAGGGGGAUAACUACUGGAAACGGUAGCUAAUACCGCAUAACGUCGCA